UUGCAAAUAUUCUCGUUCUGAUUUUGUAAUAAUCAGGACAGGCUAAACAUUUGCUAUAUUAAGACCAUUCAUGUGUUCCCCAGACCUACUUCUUUACCUAUGUCUGGUCUUACAAAUGCUGGUGACAAAA
ensembl:snoRNA SNORA72 Small nucleolar RNA SNORA72